UACGUAGGGUGCAAGCGUUAUCCGGAAUUAUUGGGCGUAAAGAGCUCGUAGGCGGUUUGUCGCGUCUGCUGUGAAAACUGGAGGCUCAACCUCCAGCCUGCAGUGGGUACGGGCAGACUAGAGUGCGGUAGGGGGAGAUUGGAAUUCCUGGUGUAGCGGUGGAAUGCGCAGAUAUCAGGAGGAACACCGAUGGCGAAGGCAGAUCUCUGGGCCGUAACUGACGCUGAGGAGCGAAAGCAUGGGGGAGCGAACAGG
rnacentral:rRNA from 1 species